CAGCAGGUGGCGUAGUGGUUGGAGCUGCUGUUUCGAGAAUUGCAGGACUUGGGUUCGACUCCCUCUCCUGCUGC
rnacentral:tRNA from 1 species